rnacentral:rRNA from 1 species
UGGCUCAGGAUGAACGCUAGCUACAGGCUUAACACAUGCAAGUCGAGGGGCAGCAUGGUCUUAGCUUGCUAAGGCCGAUGGCGACCGGCGCACGGGUGAGUAACACGUAUCCAACCUGCCGUCUACUCUUGGACAGCCUUCUGAAAGGAAGGUUAAUACAAGAUGGCAUCAUGAGUCCACAUGUUCACAUGAUUAAAGGUAUUCCGGUAGACGAUGGGGAUGCGUUCCAUUAGAUAGUAGGCGGGGUAACGGCCCACCUAGUCUUCGAUGGAUAGGGGUUCUGAGAGGAAGGUCCCCCACAUUGGAACUGAGACACGGUCCAAACUCCUACGGGAGGCAGCAGUGAGGAAUAUUGGUCAAUGGGCGAGAGCCUGAACCAGCCAAGUAGCGUGAAGGAUGACUGCCCUAUGGGUUGUAAACUUCUUUUAUAAAGGAAUAAAGUCGGGUAUGCAUACCCGUUUGCAUGUACUUUAUGAAUAAGGAUCGGCUAACUCCGUGCCAGCAGCCGCGGUAAUACGGAGGAUCCGAGCGUUAUCCGGAUUUAUUGGGUUUAAAGGGAGCGUAGAUGGAUGUUUAAGUCAGUUGUGAAAGUUUGCGGCUCAACCGUAAAAUUGCAGUUGAUACUGGAUAUCUUGAGUGCAGUUGAGGCAGGCGGAAUUCGUGGUGUAGCGGUGAAAUGCUUAGAUAUCACGAAGAACUCCGAUUGCGAAGGCAGCCUGCUAAGCAGCAACUGACAUUGAGGCUCGAAAGUGUGGGUAUCAAACAGGAUUAGAUACCCUGGUAGUCCACACGGUAAACGAUGAAUACUCGCUGUUUGCGAUAUACUGCAAGCGGCCAAGCGAAAGCGUUAAGUAUUCCACCUGGGGAGUACGCCGGCAACGGUGAAACUCAAAGGAAUUGACGGGGGCCCGCACAAGCGGAGGAACAUGUGGUUUAAUUCGAUGAUACGCGAGGAACCUUACCCGGGCUUAAAUUGCAGAUGAAUUACGGUGAAAGCCGUAAGCCGCAAGGCAUCUGUGAAGGUGCUGCAUGGUUGUCGUCAGCUCGUGCCGUGAGGUGUCGGCUUAAGUGCCAUAACGAGCGCAACCCUUGUUGUCAGUUACUAACAGGUUCUGCUGAGGACUCUGACAAGACUGCCAUCGUAAGAUGUGAGGAAGGUGGGGAUGACGUCAAAUCAGCACGGCCCUUACGUCCGGGGCUACACACGUGUUACAAUGGGGGGUACAGAGGGCCGCUACCACGCGAGUGGAUGCCAAUCCCAAAAACCUCUCUCAGUUCGGACUGGAGUCUGCAACCCGACUCCACGAAGCUGGAUUCGCUAGUAAUCGCGCAUCAGCCACGGCGCGGUGAAUACGUUCCCGGGCCUUGUACACACCGCCCGUCAAGCCAUGGGAGCCGGGGGUACCUGAAGUGCGUAACCGCGAGGAGCGCCCUAGGGUAAAACUGGUG